UAAAGGUAUAUUUAUUUGAUUUAUUUGAUCAUAUGAGAGAAAGCUGUAAUCGGAUUAGGAGAAAAAUAUUAAACUUCUACUGCUACUUACUGAGUACUUUUAAACACUUAGCAUUCACUG